UCUUUACAGAGGAAGAGGAGGAAGAAGAAGAGAAGAUGAAGAGGAAGAAGAGGAGGAGGAGGAUAAGGACUUGGUUGGUGUAGCAGUGCUGGGAGGUGCCAUAACACAGGGCACUCCUCACCUCAACAACAGUCUCUUCACCGACAAGUAAUUCUUCACCAACAAGCUUUUCAGCAGCUUGGAGAAAUAGACACUACCAAACGAAGAAGAGGAGGAGGAGGAGGAGGACUGGGAAGAAGACGAGGAACACAGGAGGAGCCCAUUGAGUGUGCGGUGUCCCACAGGCAGGCAGACCGAGACGCCAGCCAUUCAAUUCUGCCGAGGGAAGGAAGUCGUGUUAGUCAACUCUGAUGACUUGUACUUUUCUCUGCAAGGGACUGUUCUGUAAGCCAGUCACAGAAGAUGUGAACUGUAUCUGUACUAUGAAGUCUUAUAAAUAAAGUUAAAGGCUACA